AAAAGAAAACAAAAAGGAGUAAAUUAAAACUGCCUCCUCUCUCUCCCAGAGGCGUGAAAAAUAAGCAAGAAAGAGAAUCAUAAAGAUCUUCACACGUCUCACUGAUAUCUCUCUUCUAUCUCCACUCACCCAAUAAAAACAAAAGGUUACAAAAGAAAAAAGAAAAUUGAAUCACCUAUAACACGUUCCCUCACGUCUCUUCUCCAUUCCCCCCACGCGUCACGCUCACGUUUUCCUCAGAAUUCACAACCUACCUUCACUCUCUCUCACAAACAGUAACGAAAGAAGAAGAAAAAACUCUUCAAUUUUUCCUCAUCGUCGUCCUCCGCCCUGUUCAUGUUCCUUAAUCCACACCACACUUCUGUCCCCUUCACCGCCGCAGCCACACAACCACCUUCAUUCCAUUCUUCUUCCUUCUUAACCGAAGCAAACCCUCUACACCGCGACACCACCGCGAGCCCUUUUUCCAACACUGUCAAAACCCUUCCAAAACUUAUCACAACUUCCUCCGUCUCCACAAACCCUCGCGAUAUACGUUGUUGUGGUCUGAAUCCUCCGACGCUCACUUCACAACCGUGCUUAACCUACAUGUAAUCCACCGCUAAUAAUUUCCGGUUGCCGCGUCAACCUAUCCACACCGUCCAUUCUCAAUCGCCGAAGCCCACCAUCCACCACCAUCAUCGUCGAUGAAACAACCGCUCCGCAGCAAAGUCGUGUCGCCGCUGGAAAGCUCAUUGUGAUUGUGCCUCUCCAACACCCCAUCGUUAAUCAUCGUGAAGUCUACCGAAGAUCACCCAGUUACGCUCAUCGCCACCAAAUCAAAGAAGGAGUAACGAGCAAAAAGAAAGUUGAAGUUGGUUCAGAUUUUGAUUCUCAGUUUUACUGCCUUUGUUAUGUUGUUCUGUUUGCAUCAGUGAGAAUAGAAAGAAGAGGAUGAUUUUGAUGUGUAUUUACUUAUGUUAAGUUUCCUGCAUUUUUUAUCUUCAAAAAUUGAAAAGUCAAUGGAACUUGAUUAAUACAUUUACUGUUGCAUUUAAAUUUUUGUUUUGUUGUAUUAUAUGCAAUAUAGUUUAAUUUCAA